CAGAGUAAAUAUAUGUGCGCUGCUUUUUGCAGAGUGUCGCGUGAACGGGGAGUUGUCAUGCGAACGAAUGGAUUAUCCUGCGAUACAUAUAUUGCAUCCCGCUGU
rnacentral:ncRNA from 1 species